UAGGGAAUCUUCGGCAAUGGGGGCAACCCUGACCGAGCAACGCCGCGUGAGUGAAGAAGGUUUUCGGAUCGUAAAGCUCUGUUGUAAGAGAAGAACGUGUGUGAGAGUGGAAAGUUCACACAGUGACGGUAACUUACCAGAAAGGGACGGCUAGCUACGUGCCAC
rnacentral:rRNA from 1 species